rnacentral:rRNA from 1 species
GUGAGGAAUUUUCGGCAAUGGGGGCAACCCUGACCGAGCAACGCCGCGUGCAGGACGAAGGUCUGCGGAUCGUAAACUGCUUUUCUCGGGGAAGAGAACGGACGGUACCCGAGGAAGAAGCCCCGGCUUACUACGUGCCAGCAGCCGCGGUAAUACGUAGGGGGCGAGCGUUAUCCGGAAUUACUGGGCGUAAAGCGCACGCAGGCGGCCUCGCAAGUUCAGCGUGACAGUCAUCAGCUUCACUGAUGAAGGUCGCUGAAAACUGGGAGGCUUGAGGGCCAGAGAGGGACAUGGAAUUCCGGGUGGAGCAGUGAAAUGCGUAGAGAUCCGGAGGAACACCAAAGGCGAAGGCAGUGUCCUGGCUGGUACCUGACGCUCAGGUGCGAAGGCCAGGGGAGCGAACGGGAUUAGAAACCCUAGUAGUCC